AGAGUUUGAUCAUGGCUCAGAUUGAACGCUGGCGGAAUGCUUUACACAUGCAAGUCGAACGGCAGCACGGGGCAACCUGGUGGCGAGUGGCGAACGGGUGAGUAAUACAUCGGAACGUGCCCAAUCGUGGGGGAUAACGUAGCGAAAGUUACGCUAAUACCGCAUACGAUCUACGGAUGAAAGCGGGGGAUCGCAAGACCUCGCGCGAGUGGAGCGGCCGAUGUCAGAUUAGGUAGUUGGUGGGGUAAAGGCUCACCAAGCCAACGAUCUGUAGCUGGGUCUGAGAGGACGACCAGCCACACUGGAACUGAGACACGGUCCAGACUCCUACGGGAGGCAGCAGUGGGGAAUUUUGGACAAUGGGCGCAAGCCUGAUCCAGCCAUUCCGCGUGCAGGAUGAAGGCCUUCGGGUUGUAAACUGCUUUUGUACGGAACGAAACGGCGAGCUCUAAUACAGUUUGCUAAUGACGGUACCGUAAGAAUAAGCACCGGCUAACUACGUG
rnacentral:rRNA from 1 species